rnacentral:lncRNA from 1 species
AAAGUAGAAGCACCCUUAUGCUAUAGGAUCACCGACGAUGUGCUUUGGGAUAUCACUUCCCGGGCUACUGGAAAACUGCGGUCUUUGACCCUUCUUAAUUGCUGGAACAUCACUGACGCCGGUCUCUUCCGAGUCAUACGUGCCAAUCCUUGCAUCACCAAGGUACAGUUACAUAUUAAAAUAUUAGAUCACCCCGUAAUAAAAAAACACACAUGGUUGAUGAUUGAUGGUUGAUGGUUGAUGGUUGCAGGUGCAGAUUCCAGGAUGUCAUAAAGUGACAGGUGAUGGUGUGGUGAGUAUGAUGAGGUACCUGAAAAGUAAGGGCUAUAAUGAACUCAAUCAGCUCCGCCUCCAUGGGGUGCAAGAUGUAAAGAAAGAACACUUGGAGAUUCUGCAGCAUCUGCUUAGAGGUCAGACACCAUCUGUGGAGCCAAUUGAUGCAGAUGAG